rnacentral:rRNA from 1 species
CCUACGGGAGGCAGCAGUGAGGAAUAUUGGUCAAUGGACGGAAGUCUGAACCAGCCAUGCCGCGUGCAGGAAGACGGCUCUAUGAGUUGUAAACUGCUUUUGUACAAGGGUAAACCUGAACACGUGUAUUCAGCUGAAAGUACUGUUCGAAUAAGGAUCGGCUAACUCCGUGCCAGCAGCCGCGGUAAUCCGGAGGAUCCAAGCGUUAUCCGGAUUUAUUGGGUUUAACGGGUCCGUAGGCGGAUUGAUAAGUGAGAGGUGAAAUGUCCGAGCUUAACUCGGGAACUGCCUCUAAUACUGUUGAGCUAGAGAGUAGGUGCGGUAGGCGGAAUGUAUGGUGUAGCGGUGAAAUGCUUAGAGAUCAUACAGAACACCGAUUGCGAAGGCAGCUUACCAAUCUAUAUCUGACGUUGAGGCACGAAAGCGUGGGGAGCAAACAGGAUUAGAUACCCGGGUAGUC